rnacentral:lncRNA from 1 species
AUGGCCGAAACUCAGUUCAGUGCAGCAGGAGAGAUCAGAUUCACCAGAACACAGCUGUGUGUCCAUGAAGAGCGACUGCUCUAUGGAUCCUCCUCCCAAAUUAAAUGGUGGAGACACACGGCCGAAUCUCAGGUGUUACUUUUCAUUUCAGAAUGUACUAAACCUGUAACACUGUGUAAUUUGAGUAUUGCUUCUAUUAAUGCAUUGGUUCUCAAUUCCAGUCCUCGCACCCCCCAGCUCUGCAUAUUUUGAAUGUCUCUUUGUUAACACACCUGAUUCAGAUAAUCAGCUCAUUAGAAGUGAGCUCCGUGCAUGAACUGUGUUCCCAUUGACAUGCUCCCUACACAGUGUUCAUUGCUCCCUACUCCCUGAGCAGGAGAAAUCUGUUGAAGUUGCCUCACUUAGGAACAUACCUCUGUAAAUAAAUACAAUUUAAAUUAAUGUCUCGCUCACUUCAAUGCACUUUGAAUGGAAUAUAUACAUACGCUUUGAACUGGAAUCAUGGUGGAAUAUCCUGUGAUGUCCACUUCGCAGGUUAUUUACGUUCAAACAGAAAAAACAUCUGAAGCGAUAAGAGAAACAUACAAAAUGUGCAGAGCAGGGGGUCUCGAGGACUGGAAUUGAGAAUCACUCUAUUAAUGCGUCUUCUAAAGGUAAAUUAAGGUACAUUUUAGACUUUUUAAAGACGUUUUUAAGACCAAGUAAAGAAAAUUUAAGGAACGCAAUUUGUUGUAUCAGCAACACUUUAAAGUUGGAAAAUACAACUUGUAACCAAUCUCCAUUACUUUUAAAUUCAUUUUCUAAAAAAAUAGAUUAAAGUUUGUAUAACUCUGCUCCCAACCACUAGAAUAUAGAAAUAACGUUUAAUGUACCUUCUAGAAACUGAUCAAAAUAAAGUGAAUUUAUGAUUAAAAAUGAACUAAUAUUGUCAGUGGCCUCCGAGAAAGUCUCACUUAUAAUAUUUAUAAGUAUAAACGUAUCAUUUUUAUGCAUAACAUCAAAAUGUAAAAAGUUGAUUUGCUUUUGAAACAACUUUUCAGCAGAGGUGGAAAGAGUACAAAAAUAUUCUACUCAAGUAAAAGUACCAUUACAUUAACGAAAUUUUACUUAAGUACAAGUAAAAGUACCAGUCUAAAAAUCUACUCAAGUAAAAGUAAAGAGUAGCUCAUUUAAAAUUUACUCAGAGUAAAAGUUACUUAGUUACAUUUUAACAGUGGGAAGGGGGCAAAAAUGGGACAGGCCAAGGGUGUCGAACUCAGUUCCUGGAGGCCCACAGUCCUGCACAGUUUAGAUAUAACCUUAAUUAAACACACCUGAUCCAGCUAAUUUAAUCUAUUUAGUCUUAUUUGUAAAACUACAUGAUAUGUGUGCUGGAGCAGGGUUAGAAAUAAACUACUGCAGGAACUGAGUUUGAAACAACUUUUCAGCAGAGGUGGAAAGAGUACAAAAAUAUUCUACUCAAGUAAAAGUACCAUUACAUUAACGAAAUUUUACUUAAGUACAAGUAAAAGUACCAGUCUAAAAAUCUACUCAAGUAAAAGUAAAGAGUAGCUCAUUUAAAAUUUACUCAGAGUAAAAGUUACUUAGUUACAUUUUAACAGUGGAAGGGGGCAAAAAUGGGACAGGCCAAGGGUGUCGAACUCAGUUCCUGGAGGCCCACAGUCCUGCACAGUUUAGAUAUAACCUUAAUUAAACACACCUGAUCCAGCUAAUUUAAUCAUUUAGUCUUAUUUGAAAACUACAUGAUAUGUGUGCUGGAGCAGGGUUAGAAAUAAACUCUGCAGGAACUGAGUUUGACAUCCCUGGGAAAGGCCUAUUAAUCUCAAACUAGUUGUUUUUAAAUAAAGG